rnacentral:sRNA from 1 species
UGCGGUUUCACAAAUGUAGGCCGAGGUUC